GAGUUAGCGGGGGCCCUCCAUGCCACGCGUAGUUGGACGAUCAAUCUUCUAUUUACAACUUGAACAUAGUGAUUUCCUGGUUUUGCCAUGUGACAUUCAUCACAGAAUAAACCAUUUGGUUUGCUCUAGGAUGGUUAUUUUUGUAGGUUUCACUUCUUAUGUCGUGUCAGUAACGAAGGCACUGUCCAUCACUUAUAUUACUGGACAUAAUUGGAUCAGUCUAUUGUCUCAGUACAAUCCGAAGCCCUAUGAUGAACUGCAGUUUGGUUUAACAAAGACGUCACAAUUAGUCCUUCUCGCAUUUAAAAGAAAUGAAGAAAAAGACUGGAUCACGGUCACGGAGCCUAGUCAAGUUAGAAAGCUGAUCACAGCAGACCAGACACGAUCGCUGCUGUCUCGUACAUCGGUACCACCUUCAGCAACGGAUCGAGCACCGACACCUUCUCCGACGGCACUUGCUCUAGCACUGACAGCGGCAACAACUCAGUCUAAUCCACCUAAGGAUUGGGCACUGACCGCGUCAGUGGAUCAGGCUGAUCUACCAGAGGAUCGGGCAUCGACACCGGCACCAGCUCCACAAGGAGCACCAUCUCCGGUAGCAGCGGCGGCACUACCAGUCGCACCAGCAUGGGCACCAGCAACGACUCCGGCACCUGCUCCAACACUUGCACUUGCAUCUGCUCUAGCCCGUGCAGCGGCAACGUAACCAGCAGUUGCACCGGCAGCAUACUGGGCUGCAGUUCGCACUGCAUAUACCAAAGUCCUUACAAAAACCGACAUCUCCACCUUGAGAAUUCCUAGCGCAACGAGCGAGUCGUUCAACAAUCCGGGCGACCGUGGCCAAGUUUCUCUUACCAUGCACAACCUUGGUGUGAAUGAACCUUCUCAAUAUACCGUAAGUACAAAGGAUGGUCGCAUGAUGAUUGAUUCUAAAGGAUGGUCAAGGUUCAAAUCUAAAUCAAAUCUUGCGGUAGAUGAUGAUGUCAAAAUUGAACUUUCUCGGCAAGGAGAGCCGGUCCAAAUCAACUUUGAAAUUCUUCAGUAGCAGGACGUAACUGCCGAACUGAUCUAUCCUUCGAGA